rnacentral:rRNA from 1 species
GACGAACGCUGGCGGCGUGCCUAAUACAUGCAAGUAGAACGCACAGUUUAUACCGUAGCUUGCUACACCAUAGACUGUGAGUUGCGAACGGGUGAGUAACGCGUAGGUAACCUGCCUGGUAGCGGGGGAUAACUAUUGGAAACGAUAGCUAAUACCGCAUAAUAUUGAUUAUUGCAUGAUAAUUGAUUGAAAGAUGCUAUUGCAUCACUACCAGAUGGACCUGCGUUGUAUUAGCUAGUAGGUGAGGUAACGGCUCACCUAGGCGACGAUACAUAGCCGACCUGAGAGGGUGAUCGGCCACACUGGGACUGAGACACGGCCCAGACUCCUACGGGAGGCAGCAGUAGGGAAUCUUCGGCAAUGGACGAAAGUCUGACCGAGCAACGCCGCGUGAGUGAAGAAGGUUUUCGGAUCGUAAAGCUCUGUUGUAAGGGAAGAACGGGUGUGAGAGUGGAAAGUUCACACUGUGACGGUAUCUUACCAGAAAGGGACGGCUAACUACGUG